CCCCCAGCGCAUUCACAUCACUGGAGAUAGGGCUGCCGUGCGAACGCCCGCCAGGGGACCGGCGGCAGAGCUGGGCUAGGCGUCCCCACCCUCUACCUCUGAUGUCAUCCUAGCCAUCUCGGCGCGGCUGAGCCCCACCUGCCCCGCGGGUCACUAGGUUCCGCACCCGGACUCCCUACAGUGUUCCUCCUUCAGGCCACGCCGCUGCAGUCCGCCCCCGCCCCAGGUCUUCAGGGUCCAGGAGGCCAUGCACCAGGAGCCAGGCGGAGCCCCGCCCGGACGCGCCCCGCACACCCGGCCCCGCGCACCCAGUCCCAUGUGAGCGCUCGGCCGCGGCCUCUAGCAGCCCGCAGACACCGCCUCACGGCUGCCCGGCCCACGGCUGCCCGCAGACGACCAUUCCCCGGCCGCAGCGCCCGGGCGCGCGCGUGCGCCCCGCGCACUCGGCGCCGCCGGCUCCUGUCAGCCCCGAGCUUCACACGCGGGACCCGGAGGCCCGCCCGCCCCAGCUCGCUCCCGAGCCGCCCCGCCUGAGCGCGCGCCGCUCACCAGAGCCCGGGUGCCUGAGGCGCCGCCGAAGUCCCAGCUGCAAAGCCCCGCGAAGCCUUCCAACCGCUGCCGCCUCCCGCCUGGCACUGAGCGCCGCGCGGGGGAGGGGCGCGGCCGC
rnacentral:lncRNA from 1 species